ensembl:snoRNA LOC120101296 small nucleolar RNA SNORA17
CCUGCCCCAGAGUCAUUGCAGAUGUGGCUGCUGUGUCACAUGUGCAUCAGUAAGUGGCAGAGAGGAGAGAGGAUGUGUCUACACUCAGUAUUCUGCCUGUGAACAUCUGAAUGAUUAGAAGCCUAACAUC